rnacentral:rRNA from 1 species
UGGUUAAAAAGCUCGUAGUUGGAUCUCGGCGGACUGAGGGCGGUUUGCUUGCUAGUAUUACUGCCCUAUAGUCCGUAGUUUUGCCAGAGGUUUCGGGGUGCUCUUAAUCGAGUGUCCCGGGAUGCUGGCAGGUUUACUUUGAAAAAAUUAGAGUGCUCAAAGCAGGCUAUUACGCCUGAAUAUUCGUGCAUGGAAUAAUAGAAUAGGAAGUCGUUUCUAUUUUGUUGGUUUUCGGAAAUCGACUUAAUGAUUAAUAGGGACAGUCGGGGGCAUUUGUAUUCAAACGACAGAGGUGAAAUUCUUGGACCGUUUGAAGACAAACUACUGCGAAAGCAUUUGCCAAGAAUGUUUUCAUUAAUCAAGAACGAAAGUUAAAGGUUCGAAGGCGAUUAGAUACCGCCCUAGUUUUAACCAUAAACGAUGCCAGCUAGCGAUCUGCGGACGUUUUUUCUGUAGACUCCGCAGGAAGCUUCCGGGAAACCAAAGCAUUUGGGUUCCAGGGGAAGUAUGGUUGCAAAGCUGAAACUUAAAGGAAUUGACGGAAGGGCACCACCAGGAGUGGAGCCUGUGGCUUAAUUUGACUCAACACGGGAAAUCUCACCAGGCCCGGACACUGGAAAGACUGACAGAUUGAUAGCUCUUUCUUGAUUCGGUGGGUGGUGGUGCA